UACAGAGGUCUCAAGCGUUGUUCGGAUUCAUUGGGCGUAAAGGGUGCGUAGGUGGCGCUGUAAGUCGGGUGUGAAAUUUCGGAGCUUAACUCCGAAACUGCAUUCGAUACUGCGGUGCUUGAGGACUGGAGAGGAGACUGGAAUUUACGGUGUAGCGGUGAAAUGCGUAGAUAUCAGGAGGAACACCAAUGGCGAAGGCAGCACUCUGGGACGUGACUGACGCUGAGACGCGAAAGCGUGGGGAGCAAACAGG
rnacentral:rRNA from 1 species